GUUGACCGAGGCUGAAAACCCAAAGGUCUGAAUCACCUAUUACAUCUUGUUAAAAAGUUAGUGACCAUUUUACCAUAAAGUAAAUUAAUGUUUAUUCUGUAACUUAUUCUCUCCACUUGCCAAGGACAGAGAAUUUCUCUGUAACACUUAGAUUAUUUCUAAUAAUGCCAAAGGCUGUUGAUCUAUAAUCAUGAGAAUAACAAUGUUAAAUAUUUGUGAUAGAAAAUUCUGUGUUGUAAACUUUGUAGUAGGUUAAUUUUACCCAAGCUUGUGAUAAUUAUGACUUUACUCUGCAAGCUCAUAAGCCUGACCACCAUCCACGAGUCAGAAACCGCUAAGAUCUUUUGUCUGAAUUUUUUCCUCCAGACCUGUUUGUAAUACCUACAGAAUAACAUAUUUGAAAAGCAAAGUAAAAAUAAGGUUUUCCUCCAUCUGAAUUAAACAUCAUGUUGCUAAGGACCUAGUCACAGUACCUAUGACCAUAGCAGGGACCUUAGAACAUCAUGUAGCGAAAUCCUUCAGCUUACAGACAUAAGAAUAUAAAGAAAAUUUACCAAGAUGAGAACUAAGUUGCUGCUAGUCCUGUGGGCUCAUGGAUGAGAAAAUUGCCAGGCAGCAUCCCACAGCCUUUACUUUCCUUCUGUUGGAGGAUCAGUACUCCCACCCUCCUCUGAAUCAGUGCUGUUGUAAACUAUACCAGUCUUAUGUUUUCCCUCCAGAUGCACCCUUCACCCUUCUUGUUCGAGGUUGUCCCGAAUGGACUAAAUCAAUGAAAAUCACAGCUUUUAUUGAGGAAGCCCUCUCUGCAUAACUGCUCUCUCCUCUCAACCUUUUGGACUUAGAGGUGGUCACAAUAGAGCUAGGAUGAAUAAGAAUCCCAGUCAAAGAGGGAGAGAGAUGGCUUCCAAACAGGAGGCAGGACACCAUGUGUGCCACACAGCAGUAAGUACAUCAGUCCUGCUAAGGGCAGCCACUUAUGAUAUCGGAGAAUGGGAUUACCCAACUCUAAGUGGCCAUUUGAGAAAUCUGUGUCUCAUCAGGUGACCCAGCUGCCUCCCACUCCUUGUGUCUCAAUCUAAACACUGAGUGACCACUGACAUGCUCCAACUCCUGGGCUGUAGUGUCUUUGUGGAGAUGGUAAAUAGACCUGAAUAGCUUAUAGGAGGCCCCUCCCUUCUCAAAGAUGGGAGGGGUCUCUGCCUCAGUUUCCCCUUCUAGACAGCAGAGGGCUCUGGCUGUCCCCCACUGAUAUCAUUAUGGAACCCCAGCUGGGGUCCCUAUUCAGUGCUGACUCCCCCCUCCUAGCAGCUGCUCUUCCAAACACACCCCUCCUCCUGCUGCCCCAGCCCUUGACACUGGCCGGCCUUCCCCCCCACACACAGGCCACGAGAUGGGCUCCUGAGACCCUCCCCCAGCAAAGGGCUGCCUGCAGCUCAUUCUGGAGAGAGAGAGCAGGCAAAAACUUGGACUGGCAGAUAGAGGCCUGGGAAGUCAGAGUGCCUCAGUUUCCUCCUCAAUAGCAACUGAGUAUUUAUAGUAUCUGAAAGCAGGCUUGAUACUUGAUGGCACAAAUGUAGACUUCAUCUCCUUUCCCGCUUCCUGCAGGAAGCAGGAUGGGGGCAGGUAGCACCUGGUAGGCAGGAUGGUUUGCCCCUCCCUCCUCCAUCCCUUCUGGAAGUUUUGGGGCCUUAGCGCCUGCAACAGCCAGCCUUGGGCAAAUAAAAGACUAGGUUGUUUAC